UGAGGAAUAUUGGUCAAUGGGCGGGAGCCUGAACCAGCCAAGCCGCGUGAGGGAGGAAGGCCCUAUGGGUCGUAAACCUCUUUUGUCAGGGAACAAAAGCGAGUAUGUAUACUAGUCUGAGUGUACCUGAAGAAAAAGCAUCGGCUAACUCCGUGCCAGCAGCCGCGGUAAUACGGAGGAUGCGAGCGUUAUCCGGAUUUAUUGGGUUUGAAGGGUGCGUAGGCGGCGGUGCAAGUCAGCGGUAAAAGCCCGGGGCUCAACCCCGGCGAGCCGUUGAAACUGCAGUGCUAGAGAAGGCGAGAGGUACGCGGAAUGCGCAGUGUAGCGGUGAAAUGCUUAGAUAUUGCGCAGAACUCCGAUUGCGAAGGCAGCGUACUGGCGCCUGACUGACGCUGAGGCACGAAAGCGUGGGGAUCGAACAGGAUUAGAUACCC
rnacentral:rRNA from 1 species